GGACGAGCGCUGGCGGCGUGCUUAACACAUGCAAGUCGAACGGUGAAGCGCCUUCCUUUUUGGUGGGUGUGGAUGAGUGGCGAACGGGUGAGUAACACGUGAGUAACCUGCCCCCUUCUUCUGGAUAACCGCAUGAAAGUGUGGCUAAUACGGGAUAUUCUGGGUCUGUCGCAUGAUGGGUCUGGGAAAGAUAUUGUUUCGGUGGGGGAUGGGCUCGCGGCCUAUCAGCUUGUUGGUGGGGUGAUGGCCUACCAAGGCGGUGACGGGUAGCCGGCCUGAGAGGGUGGACGGUCACACUGGGACUGAGACACGGACCAGACUACUACGGGAGGCAGCAGUGGGGAAUAUUGCACAAUGGGCGCAAGCCUGAUGCAGCGACGCCGCGUGAGGGAUGGAGGCCUUCGGGUUGUGAACCUCUUUCGCCAGUGAAGCAGGCCUGCCUCGUUUGUGGGUGGGUUGACGGUAGCUGGAUAAGAAGCGCCGGCUAACUACGUG
rnacentral:rRNA from 1 species